rnacentral:rRNA from 1 species
AGAGUUUGAUCAUGGCUCAGAUUGAACGCUGGCGGCAUGCCUUACACAUGCAAGUCGAACGGCAGCACGGGGGCAACCCUGGUGGCGAGUGGCGAACGGGUGAGUAAUACAUCGGAACGUGUCCUGUAGUGGGGGAUAGCCCGGCGAAAGCCGGAUUAAUACCGCAUACGAUCUAUGGGUGAAAGCGGGGGAUCUUCGGACCUCGUGCUAUAGGGGCGGCCGAUGGCAGAUUAGCUAGUUGGUGGGGUAAAGGCCCACCAAGGCGACGAUCUGUAGCUGGUCUGAGAGGACGACCAGCCACACUGGGACUGAGACACGGCCCAGACUCCUACGGGAGGCAGCAGUGGGGAAUUUUGGACAAUGGGGGCAACCCUGAUCCAGCAAUGCCGCGUGUGUGAAGAAGGCCUUCGGGUUGUAAAGCACUUUUGUCCGGAAAGAAAUCCUAGAGGCUAAUAUCCUGUGGGGAUGACGGUACCGGAAGAAUAAGCACCGGCUAACUACGUGCCAGCAGCCGCGGUAAUACGUAGGGUGCGAGCGUUAAUCGGAAUUACUGGGCGUAAAGCGUGCGCAGGCGGUUCGCUAAGACCGAUGUGAAAUCCCCGGGCUUAACCUGGGAACUGCAUUGGUGACUGGCGGGCUAGAGUAUGGCAGAGGGGGGUAGAAUUCCACGUAGCAGUGAAAUGCGUAGAGAUGUGGAGGAAUACCGAUGGCGAAGGCAGCCCCCUGGGCCAAUACUGACGCUCAUGCACGAAAGCGUGGGGAGCAAACAGGAUUAGAUACCCCGGUAGUCC